rnacentral:rRNA from 1 species
CGGCCAACAAAGAGAGGCAAGACCGCGAGGUGGAGCAAAUCUCAAAAAGCCGUCCCAGUUCGGAUCGCAGGCUGCAACCCGCCUGCGUGAAGUUGGAAUCGCUAGUAAUCGCGGAUCAGCAUGCCGCGGUGAAUACGUUCCCGGGCCUUGUACACACCGCCCGUCACACCAUGAGAGUCGGGAACACCCGAAGUCCGUAGCCUAACCGCAAGGGGGGCGCGGCCGAAGGUGGGUUCGAUAAUUGGGGUGAAGUCGUAACAAGGUACC